CAAGGACCCAAGUUCAAUCCCGGUACCAAAAAAAAAAAAAAAAAAAGACAGUUGCUACUGAAUGCAUACUGCUUUUUGUCAGUACCAGGAAUCAAACUCGGGACCUUGGACUUAGCAGACAGGUAUGGCACCACUGAGUUAAAUCCCUGGCCCUGCAUAUUGCUUUUGUACCAGCAUAAAGUAAAAAAAUAAAAAAUAAAAAAAUAAUCACAAGUUGAAUCUUGAAUCAUCAUAAGUCUGGAGCCAUCUGUAUCAAGAGAUUUUUUGGGCCAGGGAUUUAGCUCAGUGGUUCUGCCGCCUGCCUUGAUCCCUGGGGAUCAAACUCAGGUCCUUGGGCUUUAGGGGCAAAUGUGGCACCCACUGAGGCUAAAUCCCCAGCCCAAGGAGAUUUAUUUUUAAACUGAUCCCCAGAGCAAGACAUAGAGCAGAAGCAAAGUACUGGGAAGAGGGGUCCCCUGGCAAAAGAGCUGCAAGUAUAAAGCCCUCCACCCAAGGAAGAGCUGGGCACAUUUGAGGAACUGACUGAAGGCCAAAGGGCAGGGAGGGAGAAGGGAGGAAUGAGGCUGGAAGCGCCAUCAUUCGGUCUGGGCCAUGGUCAAGAGUUUGUUCCCCUCAAGAGAGCUUAUCAGGGUGCAAGAACAAACAGGACAUGUUACAAGGGUAACCUCAAACCUGCUUAAAGCAGAGUCGCAUCAGCCACAGCCCUGAGCUCUUUUCCUGUUAGCUGCAAGCACUCGCUGGCCCUCUUCUCACCGGGACACCCAGAUGGCGAAGCCCAUCUGACCUCCCAUGCUGCUUGACAAAGUUCCAGCUGGGGGAAAAGAAGGGUGGAACACAUCGUACCCUCAUGUUUUAUUUUUUCUUGCCAUAAUGUUUAAAAUUGUUACUCUGGUCACGGGAGUCAUUGUGUUUGUGACUAACAACAAACUCUCCAUGAGGCUAAUUGGCAAUGAUAUAUUGAAAUUUGAUCUGGCUCAAAAGUCCCAAAUUCCAGUUUCUCUUAGUUCUAUUGCCACAUCCACUCCUAAAGAAACCUCUCCUAAAACUCCCCCUGUUUUCCCACUAACUAUAACUCCCUCUCUUAUUGCUGACAUUCUUUUUACUAAAGGGGUCUUAUGAAGAAAAUAGAAGGAUAGACUUUAGAUGUAAGUAAUAGUGGGAAAUGAGAAGUGGAGAGAAAGUUAAGACAGGCAAAUACAUUAAGGGGGCAAGUUAUUCAAUAUUUCUCGCAGUGCUAAAAUAUUUCCUGCUCAUGAACUAUGAACCCGAAUGACACUUAGGUAAGAUAAAUAGAGGUACAGUAAAGUAGAGAGCUAAUAGCAAACUAUAUUAACCAUUGUGCAGUUUCUCAAGGGCUAGCUGGUGACCACAAGUUUGACAUUUAAUUAAUUAAAUCUUGCUUGUACCCCCGCUGAUAUAGAGAUUUUGAUUAAGUUACAUUUUGUUCUGCUUAGGUAUGGGAAAAUAAGGGGACAAUUUGUAAUUUUUAAAAAUGUAUUCAUGAUGUUCAAUGAAAUGAAUCAGCUUAGAAAAAAUAUAGUUUAGUAAAAAAUAACUUUUACCUCACUAGAUAUUGGUAAGGCAACCUAAAAUGUAAACAUAUUCCGCCCAAUGCCUCUUAGCUAUUGCUUAAAGAUAUAAAAAUAAAUCAGACCCUGAGACUUCUCAGAGGGAACCUGAACAUUGCUUGUGAAGGUUCUUUUCUCAUCGCCCGACC
ensembl:lncRNA